UUAAGCGACUAAGCGUACACGGUGGAUGCCCUGGCAGUCAGAGGCGAUGAAGGACGUGCUAAUCUGCGAUAAGCGUCGGUAAGGUGAUAUGAACCGUUAUAACCGGCGAUUUCCGAAUGGGGAAACCCAGUGUGUUUCGACACACUAUCAUUAACUGAAUCCAUAGGUUAAUGAGGCGAACCGGGGGAACUGAAACAUCUAAGUACCCCGAGGAAAAGAAAUCAACCGAGAUUCCCCCAGUAGCGGCGAGCGAACGGGGAGCAGCCCAGAGCCUGAAUCAGUGUGUGUGUUAGUGGAAGCGUCUGGAAAGGCGCGCGAUACAGGGUGACAGCCCCGUACACAAAAAUGCACAUAUUGUGAGCUCGAUGAGUAGGGCGGGACACGUGGUAUCCUGUCUGAAUAUGGGGGGACCAUCCUCCAAGGCUAAAUACUCCUGACUGACCGAUAGUGAACCAGUACCGUGAGGGAAAGGCGAAAAGAACCCCGGCGAGGGGAGUGAAAAAGAACCUGAAACCGUGUACGUACAAGCAGUGGGAGCACGCUUAGGCGUGUGACUGCGUACCUUUUGUAUAAUGGGUCAGCGACUUAUAUUCUGUAGCAAGGUUAACCGAAUAGGGGAGCCGAAGGGAAACCGAGUCUUAACUGGGCGUUAAGUUGCAGGGUAUAGACCCGAAACCCGGUGAUCUAGCCAUGGGCAGGUUGAAGGUUGGGUAACACUAACUGGAGGACCGAACCGACUAAUGUUGAAAAAUUAGCGGAUGACUUGUGGCUGGGGGUGAAAGGCCAAUCAAACCGGGAGAUAGCUGGUUCUCCCCGAAAGCUAUUUAGGUAGCGCCUCGUGAAUUCAUCUCCGGGGGUAGAGCACUGUUUCGGCAAGGGGGUCAUCCCGACUUACCAACCCGAUGCAAACUGCGAAUACCGGAGAAUGUUAUCACGGGAGACACACGGCGGGUGCUAACGUCCGUCGUGAAGAGGGAAACAACCCAGACCGCCAGCUAAGGUCCCAAAGUCAUGGUUAAGUGGGAAACGAUGUGGGAAGGCCCAGACAGCCAGGAUGUUGGCUUAGAAGCAGCCAUCAUUUAAAGAAAGCGUAAUAGCUCACUGGUCGAGUCGGCCUGCGCGGAAGAUGUAACGGGGCUAAACCAUGCACCGAAGCUGCGGCAGCGACGCUUAUGCGUUGUUGGGUAGGGGAGCGUUCUGUAAGCCUGUGAAGGUGUGCUGUGAGGCAUGCUGGAGGUAUCAGAAGUGCGAAUGCUGACAUAAGUAACGAUAAAGCGGGUGAAAAGCCCGCUCGCCGGAAGACCAAGGGUUCCUGUCCAACGUUAAUCGGGGCAGGGUGAGUCGACCCCUAAGGCGAGGCCGAAAGGCGUAGUCGAUGGGAAACAGGUUAAUAUUCCUGUACUUGGUGUUACUGCGAAGGGGGGACGGAGAAGGCUAUGUUGGCCGGGCGACGGUUGUCCCGGUUUAAGCGUGUAGGCUGGUUUUCCAGGCAAAUCCGGAAAAUCAAGGCUGAGGCGUGAUGACGAGGCACUACGGUGCUGAAGCAACAAAUGCCCUGCUUCCAGGAAAAGCCUCUAAGCAUCAGGUAACAUCAAAUCGUACCCCAAACCGACACAGGUGGUCAGGUAGAGAAUACCAAGGCGCUUGAGAGAACUCGGGUGAAGGAACUAGGCAAAAUGGUGCCGUAACUUCGGGAGAAGGCACGCUGAUAUGUAGGUGAAGUCCCUCGCGGAUGGAGCUGAAAUCAGUCGAAGAUACCAGCUGGCUGCAACUGUUUAUUAAAAACACAGCACUGUGCAAACACGAAAGUGGACGUAUACGGUGUGACGCCUGCCCGGUGCCGGAAGGUUAAUUGAUGGGGUCAGCGCAAGCGAAGCUCUUGAUCGAAGCCCCGGUAAACGGCGGCCGUAACUAUAACGGUCCUAAGGUAGCGAAAUUCCUUGUCGGGUAAGUUCCGACCUGCACGAAUGGCGUAAUGAUGGCCAGGCUGUCUCCACCCGAGACUCAGUGAAAUUGAACUCGCUGUGAAGAUGCAGUGUACCCGCGGCAAGACGGAAAGACCCCGUGAACCUUUACUAUAGCUUGACACUGAACAUUGAGCCUUGAUGUGUAGGAUAGGUGGGAGGCUUUGAAGUGUGGACGCCAGUCUGCAUGGAGCCGACCUUGAAAUACCACCCUUUAAUGUUUGAUGUUCUAACGUUGACCCGUGAUCCGGGUUGCGGACAGUGUCUGGUGGGUAGUUUGACUGGGGCGGUCUCCUCCUAAAGAGUAACGGAGGAGCACGAAGGUUGGCUAAUCCUGGUCGGACAUCAGGAGGUUAGUGCAAUGGCAUAAGCCAGCUUGACUGCGAGCGUGACGGCGCGAGCAGGUGCGAAAGCAGGUCAUAGUGAUCCGGUGGUUCUGAAUGGAAGGGCCAUCGCUCAACGGAUAAAAGGUACUCCGGGGAUAACAGGCUGAUACCGCCCAAGAGUUCAUAUCGACGGCGGUGUUUGGCACCUCGAUGUCGGCUCAUCACAUCCUGGGGCUGAAGUAGGUCCCAAGGGUAUGGCUGUUCGCCAUUUAAAGUGGUACGCGAGCUGGGUUUAGAACGUCGUGAGACAGUUCGGUCCCUAUCUGCCGUGGGCGCUGGAGAACUGAGGGGGGCUGCUCCUAGUACGAGAGGACCGGAGUGGACGCAUCACUGGUGUUCGGGUUGUCAUGCCAAUGGCACUGCCCGGUAGCUAAAUGCGGAAGAGAUAAGUGCUGAAAGCAUCUAAGCACGAAACUUGCCCCGAGAUGAGUUCUCCCUGACCCUUUAAGGGUCCUGAAGGAACGUUGAAGACGACGACGUUGAUAGGCCGGGUGUGUAAGCGCAGCGAUGCGUUGAGCUAACCGGUACUAAUGAACCGUGAGGCUUAACCUU
rnacentral:rRNA from 1 species